rnacentral:rRNA from 1 species
GAAAGGGGCGGUAAUACCGGAUAAUGUCCUUCGGGACCAAAGAUUUAUCGGCAUUGGAGCGGCCUAUCUCCUAUCAGCUUGUUGGUGAGGUAAUGGCUCACCAAGGCUACGACGGGUAGCGGGACUGAGAGGUUGGCCCGCCACAUCGGGACUGAGACACUGCCCGGACCUCCACGGAGGGCUGCAGUAACGGAUAUUGGGCAAUGGGCGAAAGCCUGACCCAGCAAUGCCGCGUGCAGGAUGAAGCCCCUCGGGGUGUAAACUGCUGUCAGGGGUCAGAAAGCUAGUUUCGGCUAGUUGAUCAGCCCCAGAGGAAGUCACGGCUAACUUCGUGCCAGCAGCCGCGGUAAUACGAAGGUGGCAAGCGCUAUUCGGAAUCAUUGGGCUUAAAGGGCAUGUAGGCGGAACAGUGGGUGUUGUGUGAAAUCCCCCGGCUUAACCGGGGAAUUGCACAGCAAACUGCGGUUCUUGAGGCAGGUAGGGGUGCAUGGAACUCUUGGUGGAGCGGUGGAAUGCGUAGAUAUCAAGAGGAACGCCAGAGGUGAAGACGGUGCACUGGGCCUAGCCUGACGCUGAGGUGCGAAAGCGUGGGGAGCAAACGGGAUUAGAUACCCCGGUAGUCCACGCCGUAAACGAUGUCUACUAGGUCGUGGGUGUUCUGACACAUUCACGGCCGAAGCAAAAGUGAUUAGUAGACCGCCUGGGGAGUACGGCCGCAAGGUUAAAACUCAAAUGAAUUGACGGGGGCUCACACAAGCGGUGGAGCAUGUGGAUUAAUUCGAAGCAACGCGCAGAACCUUACCUGGGUUUGACAUGCUUGGAUGCCUGCUCCGAAAGGAGUUAGGCUGCCUUCGGGUGAAACUUGCACAGGUGCUGCAUGGCUGUCGUCAGCUCGUGUCGUGAGAUGUCGGGUUAAGUCCUUUAACGAGCGAAACCCUUGCCGUUAGUUGCCAGCGAGUAAUGUCGGGGACUCUAACGGGACUGCCGGUGUUAAACCGGCGGAAGGUGGGGAUGACGUCAAGUCCUCAUGGCCUUUAUGCCCAGGGCUUCACACGUGCUACAAUGGCAAUUACAAAGCGACGCGAUACCGCGAGGUGGAGCAAAUCGCAAAAAAAUUGCCUCAGUUCGGAUUGCAGGCUGGCAAUUCGCCUGCAUGAAGUCGGAAUCGCUAGUA